GAUGAACGCUGGCGGCGUGCCUAAUACAUGCAAGUCGAGCGAACGGACGAGAAGCUUGCGGUUCUGAUGUUAGCGGCGGGCGGGUGUGUAACACGUGUAUAACGUACCUAUAAGACGGGGAUAACUAGGGGAAACCGGAGCUUAUACCGUAGAAGAUUCUGAACCGCAGUGUGGAAAAGUGAGAGACGGUGUUGGGGGCACGUAUAGCUGGAUCUGGGCUGGAUUGGCUGGUUGGGCAGGUAACGGGUUAUCAAGGCGAGGAUGCAUAGCCGAAGUGAUGGGGUGAUAGGCCACCCGGGAGCUGAGCCACGCUCCUGGCUCCUAAGGGACGCAGCAGUCGGGAAUCUUCCGCAAUGGUCGAAAGCCUUACGGAGCGACGCCGCGCGAGUGACGACGGCCUUCGGAUCGUAAAACUCUGUUAUUAGUGAAGAACAUAUGUGUCCUUAAACGUGCCCUUAUUGACGGUACCUAAUCAGAAAGCACCGGCUAACUACGUG
rnacentral:rRNA from 1 species